UAUAUUUAACAUCGAAAACCUGUUCCCCACCUGAUAUUUUAAUGUAAGAAAAUGUUAACCACGUUAGCGACGCGAUGGUUCGUCUUCAUCAACGUAAUAAACGUAAACAGUGCAAUGACUUGAUUUAUUAAUCGGAAGAAGUGGAGGUGCCGGUAAUGUCUGAGCAGAAAGGCGGCAAAAUGUUAAACUAAACUCAAUGUUGCCGCUGAAGCAGAAACCGGAGGCAGUAUGUUGGCCCAGUCGACCCGUCGGAGCUUCCAUACGCCUUCUGCUAUGUUACGAUGUCGUACAUAUGGAUGGAACGGUGAAACACGUGGAGUCCACAGCGCAGAUGGCGAAACAUGUGAAUGAAAAA